UAGGUCAUUAAAGUUAGUAAUAAAUAAAAUAAAAGCUAAAAUCAUGUUAUAUUCUUUCAUCUUCCACCAAAUGCAAAGAAAAGAAACAGCCAUGGAAGAAUUUGAGGGUUCGGCCGUUGUUGUUUUUAAUUGAGAGUUUCAGAGACUUGCUCGAGUUGGAAGUUAGAGGAGACGUCAUCACACUAUUCGAUUAUCGCUUUGAUCAAGAACCAAAAAGAUCGGACGUAGAUCGGGGAAAAUCAAAAAUCGUUGAGUAGUUGAAUUUAACUGUCCGUCUACAUCCGAGAUUUUGGAGAUCGUUACGUGCUCAGGGGAUUGUUAGUAAAGUCAUCCACACUAUCUUCAAUAUUUUGGUACUUUUAAAAGUUGGUUUGGUACUUAUGGCAAGUAUAAGCUAAUAACUCUUUUGGAGAUGUUUAAAUUUCAUAUAUGUAUAAUGGUUAAGUCAUGCGAAAAUGACUUAAUUUACAUGUUAAAGUUUGGUUAUGUUUAGUUGUGGUUUGAGUUUGCCUUUAUUUGUGAUACCUAAACUAUGCGUAUUUGAUUAUAGUAAUGAUCAAUGUGGGUUAUAAUAUUAGUUUGGUAAAAUUUGAAUAUGAUGGAAUAAUGGGCCUUAAUCGAGUCUAAGUCUUAUAUGGUAUGGUGGUGUAAGUUUAAUCAUGAUAUGUAUAUGUUGUGAUAAGUGAGUUGUUUUU